rnacentral:misc_RNA from 1 species
CACAUUCUCAUUUUCCAUUCUUAUCCAACAAAAAAAAAUCACAACGUGAAGCUUUACUCAAUCGGCAAGUUAUUCAGAAAUCUUUUGGUAUCAGAAAUGGCAACUCUUGCUCUAAGGAGGGCCACCGCCUCAUCACUAUUCAACAGGCUCGUCAAUCCUGUUCGUUCUGCAUCUGCUUUCCGUUCAUUCAAUACUAACACUCAGAUGACAGCUUAUGACCAGGAUGAUCGUGGCGUUGAUGUUGACCGCCGGUCCGAUCGAUCCGUCUCUCGCCGUGAUGCUUUUCCUAGUUUAUUCUCAGAUGUAUUUGAUCCAUUUUCACCACCAAUUAGGAGCGUGAGCCAAUUGCUGAACAUGAUGGAUCAAAUGAUGGAUUCUCCAUUCGUAGCUGCACCGCGUGCAAUGGGCGCCGGAGUUGGAGCAAGAAGAGGAUGGGAUGUAAAGGAGGACGAUAACGCUCUGUAUAUAAAAAUGGACAUGCCUGGACUCGAUAAGGAGAAUGUGAAGGUGGCGGUGGAGGAGAACACGCUGAUAAUCAAAGGAGAAGGCGAGAAAGAGUCGGAGAAUGAAGAGUAUAGAAGGAGGUACUCUACCAGACUGGAAAUUCCUCAAAAUAUCUACAAAUUGGAUGGAAUCAAGGCGGAGAUGAAGAAUGGAGUGUUGAAAGUAGCUGUUCCAAAGGUGAAGCAAGAAGAAAGGAAGGAUGUUUUCGAUGUUAAAAUUGAGUGAGAGCUUUUAAGCUUUGCCAAGUUUGUGCAACAAUUGAGUGUUGAUGUUAUUAACUUUUUCAACUUUUUAGUUCUUAGAUAGGUUGGUUUGUGGAAAAUAAAAGAUUAUGUGCUAAAAAUUGGAAUUCUGAUUGUAAGAGUUUGUUCAAUUAGAAAACUGGAAAGUUGAG